CAGCCGCCACGGUAAAACGAAGGGUGCAAGCGUUAAUCGGAAUUACUGGGCGUAAAGCGUGCGUAGGCGGUGAGUUAAGUCUGCUGUGAAAUCCCCGGGCUCAACCUGGGAAUGGCAGUGGAUACUGGCUCGCUAGAGUGUGUCAGAGGAUGGUGGAAUUCCCGGUGUAGCGGUGAAAUGCGUAGAUAUGCGGAGGAACACCGAUGGCGAAGGCAGCCCCCUGGGCCAACACUGACGCUCAUGCACGAAAGCGUGGGGAGCAAACAGGAUUAGAUACCCCAGUAGUCCCUGUCUCUUAUAC
rnacentral:rRNA from 1 species